rnacentral:rRNA from 1 species
UACAGAGGUCUCAAGCGUUGUUCGGAUUCAUUGGGCGUAAAGGGUGCGUAGGCGGCGCGGUAAGUCGGGUGUGAAAUCUCGGAGCUUGAACUUCGAAACUGCAUUCGAUACUGCCGUGCUUGAGGACUGGAGAGGAGACUGGAAUUUACGGUGUAGCGGUGAAAUGCGUAGAUAUCGUAAGGAAGACCAGUGGCGAAGGCGGGUCUCGUGGACAGUUCCUGACGCUGAGGCACGAAGGCCAGGGGAGCAAACGGG